rnacentral:rRNA from 1 species
UACGAAGGGGGCUAGCGUUGUUCGGAAUUACUGGGCGUAAAGCGCACGUAGGCGGAUUGCUAAGUCAGGGGUGAAAUCCCGGGGCUCAACCUCGGAACUGCAUUUGAUACUGGCAAUCUCGAGUCCGGAAGAGGUGAGUGGAAUUCCUAGUGUAGAGGUGAAAUUCGUAGAUAUUAGGAAUAACACCAGUGGCGAAGGCGGCUCACUGGUCCGGUACUGACGCUGAGGUGCGAAAGCGUGGGGAGCAAACACG